AACGAACGCUGGCGGCAGGCCUAACACAUGCAAGUCGAGCGAGCAUUUCGGUGCUAGCGGCGGACGGGUGAGUAACGCGUGGGAACGUGCCCUUUUCUGCGGCCUAGUCCUGGGAAACUGGGGGUAAUACCGCAUACGCCCUUUUGGGGAAAGAUUUAUCGGAGAAGGAUCGGCCCGCGUUGGAUUAGGUAGUUGGUUGGGUAAUGGCCCACCAAGCCGACGAUCCAUAGCUUGUUUGAGAGGAUGAUCAGCCACACUGGGACUGAGACACGGCCCAGACUCCUACGGGAGGCAGCAGUGGGGAAUCUUAGACAAUGGGGGCAACGCUGAUCGAGCCAUGCCGCGUGAGUGAUGAAGGCCUUAGGGUUGUAAAGCUCUUUCAGCUGGGAAGAUAAUGACGGUACCAGCAGAAGAAGCCCCGGCUAACUCCGUG
rnacentral:rRNA from 1 species